rnacentral:rRNA from 1 species
UGGGGAAUUUUGGACAAUGGGCGAAAGCCUGAUCCAGCGACGCUGCGUGUGUGAAGAAGGCCUGCGGGUUGUAAAGCACUUUCGAUGGGAACGAAAUGUGCCGGGUUAAUACCCCGGUAAGCUGACGUUACUCAAUGAAGAAGCACCGGCUAACUCUGUGCCAGCAGCCGCGGUAAUACAGAGGGUGCGAGCGUUAAUCGGAAUUACUGGGCGUAAAGCGCACGUAGGCGGACUGAUAAGUCAGGGGUGAAAUCCCGGGGCUCAACCUCGGAACUGCCUUUGAUACUGUUAGUCUCGAGUCCGGAAGAGGUGAGUGGAAUUCCUAGUGUAGAGGUGAAAUUCGUAGAUAUGCGGAGGAACACCGAUGGCGAAGGCAAUCCCCUGGACCUGUACUGACGCUCAUGCACGAAAGCGUGGGGAGCAAACAGGAUUAGAUACCCUUGUAGUCCCUGAGCGGGCUGGCAAGGCGCAU